rnacentral:tRNA from 1 species
AAAUAAGAAGCGAAAUAUUGCAAUCAGUUUCGACCUGAAGUUAUGGCAUAAAAUGCCCUUAUUUA